rnacentral:lncRNA from 10 species
GUAAAACUAGCUGUACUAUGUUUGCAUCUUUAUGUAUAUCUAAAAUUAUUUUAAAAUGAAAUCUUUGAUUUUUUAUUUUUAAUUAAAAAAGACAGGCAUGCAUAUGUUAUCCCAGCUUCUGGGGAGGCUGACUUGGGAGGAUUGCUUGAGCCCAGGAGUUCCAAACUGAAGUGAGCCAUGAUUGUGUCACUGCACUCCAGCUUGGGAAACAGAGGGAGACCAAGACUCAAAAAAAAAAACUGGCCUCAGAAGGAAUUUUAUGGAACCUUGUAUUCUGUUGAAUACCAGAAUUAUAUCAGCAAUCCCAAAGUCACCAAAUGGGCAUCAUCAUGACAGCAGACCGUGAUCAUGGGCUACAUUCUCCGUACCAGCUUCAUAGCUCCAGUGAGAAAAUAAAUUCCUGCAUCCAGGAGAUGUGGAGUAAGAGAUACAGCUGCCCUUGACCAUAUUUCUUACUUCCGAGAAGAUCGUAGCAGUAAUUCAGAAUCUCAUCCAGGAUACCUCAUCACAGGUACAUGUCAUGUCUCCUUAGAAUUCUCUGACUGUCACAGUUUUUCGGAGUUUCCUUAUUUUUGAUGCCAUUAAUAUUACUAAUGUGGGAUUUGUCUGAUGUUUCUCUAAUGAUAAGACUGGAUUUGUGGGUUUAGGGGAGGAAGAUCACGAGGAAAAGUGUCAUUUUUAUUUAUUUAUUUAUUUAUUUAAUUUUGAGACAGUGUCUCACUCUCUCUCCCAGGCUGGAGUGCAGUGUCAUGAGCUUGGCUCACUACAGCCUCCAUCUUCUGUGCUUAAGGAUCCUUCCCUCUCAACCUCCAAGGUAGCUGAGACUACAGGUAUGUGCCACCAUGCUGGACUAAUUUAUUGUUGUUGUUGUUGUUUGUUAGAUUUUUGGUAGAGGCAAGGUUUCACCAUGUUGCCCAGGCCAGAGUCAAACUCCUGGGCUCAAGUGAUAUUUAUUUUGUUAUAGAGAUGGGGUCUUAAUGUGGUGCCCAGGCUAGUCUGGGAUUACAGGUGUGAGCCACUGUGCCUUGCCAAAAACUGCCAUUCUCAUCAUAUCGUACCAAGAGUACAAACUCAACAAGGGUACAAACUGUCAACCAGAGUAGACAUUCAUUAUUGGCAGAAUGUCUACAAAUUCCUUUAAACCUUCACCAUAAACAUGUGCCUACUCUCUUCCAAUUAUUUCAUGUGUAUUAAUUUAUUCAUUUAUACAUGCAUCUUUUAUUUAUAUCAUUAUCUAAAUAUGGAGAUUUAUUUUACAAUGCGUAUGUGCUAUUUUUUUUUUUUUGAGACAGAGCCUUUCUCUGUUGCCCAGGCUGGAGUGCAAUGGUGCGAUCUCAGCUCAUCGCAACCUCUGCCCCCUGGGUUCAAGCGAUUCUAGUGCCUCAGUUUCCUGACUGGCUGGGAUUACAGGCAUGAGACACUACACCUGGCUAAGUUUUGUGUUUUUAGUAGAGACAGGGUUUCACCAUGUUGGCCAGGUUGGUCUUAAACUCCAUACCUCAGAUGAUCCACCCUCCUCGGCCUCCCAAAGUGCUGGGAUUACAGGCAUGAGCCACCAUGCUUGGCCGCUAUUUUUUUUUUUAAUUGCACAAAUUGUUCCAGUGUUGGCUAUUGGAAGGUUUUUAAGUUGUCUCUUGUAUCACUUUGAAAUACCUCCAUAAUUAAAGUUUGAUGUUGUGUGGUUGGUUGGUUUUGUUGUUGUUUGGCAUUUUCUUUUGUUCAGUCACUAUUAUAUGCUCCAGUCUAUGAAUUUAAUUGUGCUCCAGGGUAAUUUGGUAAUUUUAUAAUUUCUACGAAUGUUUCCAACACCAUAUGACCUAAUCCAGCACCAUAUAAAUGGAUCCACUCAUUCUCUCAUUUGUAUGUAAUCUAGCACUCCCUGCAAGCAAGUUGAUGUUGUUAAUUUAAUCAUGCUACCUGAACAAGGUAUAUUGCUAUGUAGAAAAAUACAAGUUGAAACAGUCAAAAUACUGUGUAAUUCCAUUCAUAUGACUCUGUAGAAAAGGAAAAAGUGUAGUGAUAGUAGAGUUCAGUGGUAACAAGGGGCUUGGGAGAGAUAUAGGUGACAUCAGUGAACUACCGAAGAUUUCUUUUGGGCAGUGAAAUUCCUCUUUGAUACUGUAACGGUGGAUACAUCAUAAUGUUUUCCAAAUCCUGAAGAACUUUGUAACACAAAGAGUGUAGCUAAUUUAUGCAAAUUAAAAACCUUAUUUAGGAGGUCACAAGUUUGCCUUUUCACAGUAUUUUACCUUUUCCAACUUAUAUUUUUUAGCAAUAUGCUUUUUAGAUUUUUGAAGUACACCUCAUGGUUUUUAGAUUUGCCUUCACCUAAUUGUUGUAGGACAGGUGAGUCACACAAUUGGGGCUUAUCCUGAGAGGGUUAUUAGCUUUGUCCAGGAAAGAAUUUAAGGGCAAGUGGGUGAUGUUAGACUGCAAUAUUUUAUUGAAUGGUACUGCUCCUAGCAGAGCAGGGCUAACUCUUAAGCAGUGUGUUCAGAGUUGGCAACAUAUAGGCCUCCUGGCAACUGUGUUUAUAUGCAAUCAAACCCACUUUUAAUUAUAUGCAAAUUGAGGGGCAGAUCAAUGCAAAUUGAGGCAGGAAAGGGGCAGUGACUUCUAGGUUGUCUCCAUGGAAAGGGGCAGUAACUUCUGAGCUGUAGCCAUGGAAUUUGUAAACAGUUAUGUGGUUGGUAGGAGUGUCAUAUGAGUGACAAAUGAAGACUGCCAGGGAUCACAUUUACCACAAUGUACACGCUUCUGUCAGUUUUUUCCCUUUAUCCUGUCUGGAGCAGAUCUUAUUUUGGUCAUCAAGGUUGUGAAACCAGAAAACAAGUCCUUCCAGUCUCCUACCUCAUAAUGACAAAAGACAUUGAGCAUAAUUUCAUGUGAUUUUGGAUAUGACUAUGGCUUUCUUUUGAGAGUUGGCUAUUUAAGAUUUUGCCAUUUUUGAUUGGGAUAUUUGCCUUUUUAAUUUUGAGUUGUAAGACAUUGUAUAUUCUGGAUAAUAGACCAUUAUCACCUAUAAAAUUUGCAAUUUUCACAUAUUUUCUGCCAUUCUUUGGGUGCCUCUUUAUAUUUGAUGGUGGACUUUAAAUUGCAAAAGAUUUUAAUUCUAAUGAAGUUUAAUAUUUCUAUAUUUUCUUCUUUCCUUUGUGCUUUUCAGUGUCAUAUCUUAAAACAUUGUUUAACCAGAGACCACAAAGAUGUAUUCCUGUGUUCCUUUUUAUGGGUUGGCCCUGUUUAGCUCUUAUAUUUAGAUGGAUUAUCAUUUUGAGUCAAUUAUGUUUCUGGUAUGAGGCAAGAGUCUAACUUGCAUGUGGAUAUCCACUUGACCCACAAACAUUUGACAAGAAAAUAUUGCUUCAUACCUAAUUUAUUUGGCCACAGUAUAAAAGCAUUUCACCAUAAAUGUAGGGAUUCAUUUUUCAGUAUUAUAUUCUCUACUCCAUUGAUCAAUACAUAUAUCCCUAUACUAGUACCACAAAUCUUGAUUACUAUUACUUUGUAGUAAGUUUUGCAAUCAAGAAGCAUAUGUCUACUAUGCAAACCCUUUUUGUCCUUCUCAAGAGUGUUUUGGCUGCUCAUGAUCUAUAUUAUAUAUAAUUUUAGGAUAAACUUCUGAAUUUAGGGGAAGGUAAUGCCACCUGGUGUUUUGAGAGAAGUUGCAUUAAUUCUAUAGAUCCAUUUGGAAAAUAUUGCCAACCUAACAAUAUGCAUUCUGUAGUUUUUAGUGUACAUAUCUUAUACUUAAUUUGAUAAGGUUAUUCCUAAGUAUUUUUGAUGUGAUCUUAAUUGGAACGAUUUUCUGAGUUUUGUUUUUAGAUUGUUAAUUGCUAGUAUAGAGAAAUUUAAAAUAUUUUAUAUAUUUUAUAUGCUGCAAACUUCUUUGAACUCAUCUUUAAAUUCUAAACAUAUUUGAUAGAGUCCUUUGGACUUUUUAUACAUGAGAUCAUGUCAUUUGCAAACAGUCGGAGUUUGACUUCCUUUCCAUACUAGAAACGUUAUAUUUAUUUUUCUAAAUGAAUUGCCCUGUCUACAUUCUCCAGUACAAUGUUGCGAACAAGUGUCAACAGUGGAAAUAUUUGACUUCUUUCUAAUAUCAGAGAAAUUAGUGAACCUUUCAGAUUACUUAUGAUGAUAUGUGAGCUUUUCAUAGAUGCCCUUUGAAAUGAAGAAAGUUCUCUUAUCUGCCUAAUUUGCUGCAUGUUUUUAUAAUACUGAAUCUGGGAAUUUUCAAGUGCUUGUUGCACACCUUCUGAGACGAUUGUGUAGUUUUUAUUCUUUAUUAAUAUAGUGUAUGACAUUAAUUGUAUCAUAUGUUGAACCAAAUUUGCAUUCCUGAGGUAAAUACCUUUUGCCAUAGUUUAUAAUACUUUCUACAUGUUGCUGAUUUCAUUUGAUAAUAUCUCGCUGCUGAUUUUUGUCUCUGUAUUUAUAAGGCAUAUUGGUCUUCAUUCUCCUUAUUUGAAAUGUCUUUGUGUAGUUGUUCAAUCAGGGUAAACUAAUUCAUAGUAUACAAUGGGAAGUGAUCUAUUUUCUACUUCUUUAUUAUUAUUGUAUUGUUUUGAAAUAUUUUUGAUAAAUUAGUAUUAAUUUUAAGUGAUUUUAAUAACACAUCAAUGAGUUCCUGAUGAGGGCAGGGAGGUGAAUCCUAAGAACAAUCAUGUGAGUUUGGAAGGAGACCCUUCCCCAGCUGAGCCUCAGCCUGAGCCAUCCCCUACAUCUAGACCGAAGACCCAGAGAAACCGUGAGUAGUAUGUGUGUGGUUCUGAGCCACUAAGGUAUGUAGUAAUUUGUUAUGCACCAAGUAGUAAGUAAUAUACCUGACAGUAAUUGUUAGGUGGUAUUCUGGAUUAGGUCCUGGAAUAGAUAAGUAUAUGAUUAUUAGAAAACCUGGUAAAAUAUGAAGGAAGUUUGUAGAUCAGUUAAUAGUCUUGAAAAACAGUUAAAUUCUUAGUUUUCAUGAAUAUGCUAUGGUUACAAUAUAUAUUAACAUUCUAGUUAUCUGAAUGGUAUAUGAAACUGUCUGUACUUACCUAUGUGCAUUUAUGUAAAUCUGCAGUUAUUUCAAAAUAAAUAUGUUUUUUAAUAUUAUUAUUAUUUUUUUAAGAAAAGUAAGCAAGUAAAGACAUCAGCAAAAAACUUUUGCCUCCAGAUACAAGUGGGCAUGUAGGGAGAGAAUAGUAAACUGGCUUUUCUUUUCUUUUCUAGGCAACAUUCGAAACCCAGGUGCCACUCCUUCAGGAAGGUACCAUCAAGCUCCAAGGACUCAUCCUCUUUCUCCUUCCCCACUACCUAGUCAUUAGAGCGUCAGCAUCCACUUCCUGAAAGGAAGAUGCCUGUUUUUCACAUAUCCCAGAAAGCCUCAUUUUAGGACAGCAUUUAGCAGAGUGUAUUCAGGAUCCCACUAACCUUUUCGGAAGACAUGACUUCCAGAUGAUAUAAGGCAAGAAUAAGAAAUUUCAGUGACAGGGAACAGAAAUCAUAUUUCUGCAUUCAGGAUCAUGUUUUCUUGGCUCCAUCAGGAACUGUGCAGGACUGUGCACUCUGUUGAUACUCACAUGGUGGAAUUAUAUUGCCCUUGGCCAACCCUAAAGCCAUCAAGAUAGCAGGUUUGGAAUAAUUCACUGUCGAAGUCUUCUUGAGCUGAGCAGUCAUGUGAGCUUGGAAGAUGAUCCCUCUCCAGCUGAUCCUUCAGCUCAGGCCAUCAUCUACAUCUGGAUUCCUGACCCGGAGAAACUAUGAGUAAUGUGUGCUGCUUUUGAGCCACUAAGCUACAUGAAUUAAUGAAGGAUCAUUAUUAAGUUUUUAAUGGGUCAAGAGAAAGUUACCACUGAGGUCUUCUCUACCUGGGCAACAAUUGACUCCUAACAACCACUAUAAGCUUGGAAGAUGAUCCCUCCCCAGCUGAUCCUUCAGUUCACAUGAAGCAUUUGGAAGUAAACACACGAUGGACUGAACACUUUGCUGCUUAGAAACUUCUUCUUCCAGAUUCCCUAGUUCAUCAUUAAGUAGUUAGGCCUCUCACAAAGCCCUUGGUCACGGAUACAGGUCAGCCGUUCUUUACCCAAUCAAAACAGGGAUGGCCUUUACUGCAGUUACUAAUAUCUUGUUUUUUAGUUUCAUCUGACAUUUUGUCAGAAUGGCCCUUAUGUCAGUAUUUCUAUCAGCAGUGAGGACUAAACUCUGAUUUUUUUAUCUUGCCCAAAUUCCUAUCUAAAAGGUCUGGGGAGUCAUGCCCUACAAAUGAUAAAUUCUCAUCAGAUGGGUUUUAUUUGACCCUGUAUAUCGUGACUUACUUUCCAACCUGACUGUGGCAUAACAUUACAAAAGAAGGAAGAAAAUCAAAAUAUUUUACUCCAAAAACAUGUUUCUUUGUUGCAUUUUGAAAUGGUCCUGCAAGCCAUCCUUUGUGGAGGAAAAUUCACGUCUGUAAAGAAUCUCUAUUAGCCUCUAUAUCUAUAGAGGUUAAUAUAUAUCUAUAUGUUAGCCUCUAUAUAUAUAAUAUAAUAUAAUCUAUAUCUAUAACCUCUAUAUCUAUAUCUGUAAAGAAUCUCUAUUAACCUCUAUAUCGAGGUAUAAUCUCUAUACCUCGACCUUUGUCUGUCAGGCCCUUCCAAUUCUGAAUAGAUUAGGUAAGAGUGUAGCACCUUUUAAAGUCUGAAUAGGCAACAUUUGUCAUCUAUUAUCUCUAAGUGCAAUGGCUAUGAGACUUCAAAAGAACCUUGGUCUCCAAAGUCUUUUGUCUUAACCUGAACAUUUCCUUUCUAUUGAUCCCAG